AGAUUGAACGCUGGCGGCAUGCCUUACACAUGCAAGUCGAACGGCAGCACGGGAGCAAUCCUGGGUGGCGAGUGGCGAACGGGUGAGUAAUACAUCGGAACGUGCCCAAUCGUGGGGGAUAACGCAGCGAAAGCUGUGCUAAUACCGCAUAAGAUCUACGGAUGAAAGCAGGGGAUCGCAAGACCUUGCGCGAAUGGAGCGGCCGAUGGCAGAUUAGGUAGUUGGUGAGGUAAAGGCUCACCAAGCCUUCGAUCUGUAGCUGGUCUGAGAGGACGACCAGCCACACUGGGACUGAGACACGGCCCAGACUCCUACGGGAGGCAGCAGGUGGGGAAUUUUGGACGAAGUGGGACGUAAAAGCCGUAGAUCCAAGCCACGUACCCGUCGUGUGCGAUGGAAGGCCGUUCGGUUA
rnacentral:rRNA from 1 species